GCACUAAUGAUGAGACCAAACCAGGUCGAAACAGCUGUCCAGUGU
rnacentral:hammerhead_ribozyme from 1 species